GACAUCCCGGAGACCUUAGGAACUAGGGGUGCUUCCAUCUGGAAGAAUCUGGAGACAGGUGCUGCAUGGCUGUCGUCAGCUCGUGUCGUGAGAUGUUGGGUUAAGUCCCGCAACGAGCGCAACCCUUGCCUUAGUUGCCAGCAGUUCGGCUGGGCACUCUAAAGGGACUGCCGGUGUUAAACCGGAGGAAGGUGGGGAUGACGUCAAGUCCUCAUGGCCUUUAUGACCAGGGCUACACACGUACUACAAUGGCCGAUACAAAGGGCAGCGACACUGACGAGGUGAAGCCAAUCCCGUAAAAUCGGUCUCAGUCCGGAUUGGAGUCUGCAACUCGACUCCAUGAAGUUGGAAUCGCUAGUAAUCGUGGAUCAGCAUGCCACGGUGAAUACGUUCCCGGGCCUU
rnacentral:rRNA from 1 species